GACGAACGCUGGCGGCGUGCUUAACACAUGCAAGUCGAACGAUGAAGCCCAGCUUGCUGGGUGGAUUAGUGGCGAACGGGUGAGUAAUACGUGAGUAACCUGCCCUUGACUCUGGGAUAAGCCCGGGAAACUGGGUCUAAUACUGGAUGCUACAUGUCACCGCAUGGUGGUGUGUGGAAAGGGUUUACUGGUCUUGGAUGGGCUCACGGCCUAUCAGCUUGUUGGUGAGGUAAUGGCUCACCAAGGCGACGACGGGUAGCCGGCCUGAGAGGGUGACCGGCCACACUGGGACUGAGACACGGCCCAGACUCCUACGGGAGGCAGCAGUGGGGAAUAUUGCACAAUGGGCGAAAGCCUGAUGCAGCGACGCCGCGUGAGGGAUGACGGCCUUCGGGUUGUAAACCUCUUUCAGCAGGGAAGAAGCCACAAGUGACGGUACCUGCAGAAGAAGCGCCGGCUAACUACGUG
rnacentral:rRNA from 1 species